AAUAGGGCGGCACCUUGACGGUACCUAACCAGAAAGCCACGGCUAACUACGUGCCAGCAGCCGCGGUAAUACGUAGGUGGCAAGCGUUGUCCGGAAUUAUUGGGCGUAAAGGGCUCGCAGGCGGUUUCUUAAGUCUGAUGUGAAAGCCCCCGGCUCAACCGGGGAGGGUCAUUGGAAACUGGGAGAACUUGAGUGCAGAAGAGGAGAGUGGAAUUCCACGUGUAGCGGUGAAAUGCGUAGAGAUGUGGAGGAACACCAGUGGCGAAGGCGACUCUCUGGUCUGUAACUGACGCUGAGGAGCGAAAGCGUGGGGAGCGAACAGGAUUAGAUACCCUGGUAGUCCACGCCGUAACGAUGAGUGCUAAGUGUUAGGGGUUUCCCGCCCCCUUAGUGCUGCAGCUAACGCAUUAAGCACUCCGCCUGGGGGAGUACG
rnacentral:rRNA from 1 species